rnacentral:rRNA from 1 species
GGUGACAUCCGUUGAUAUCAUGUGGAACACCGAAGGCGAAGGCAGCAAACUGGCGCGUUCCUGACCCUGAAACACGAAAGCGUGGGGAGCAAAAAGGAUUAGAUACCCUUGUAGUCCACGCCCUAAACUAUGUCUACUAGCUGUUUCGAGUAUCGACCCUCGGAGUGGCGUAGCUAACGCGUUAAGUAGACCGCCUGGGAAGUACGGCCGCAAGGCUAAAACUCAAAGGAAUAGACGGAGACUCGCACAAGCGGUGGAUUAUGAGGUUUAAUUCGAUAGUAAACGAAGAACCUUACCAGGGCUUGAAAUGUUUGCGGAAAAUCCGCGGAAACGUGGAAAUUCUCUCAAGGACCGCAAGCACAGGUGCUGCAUGGUUGUCGUCAGCUCGUGUCGUGAGAUGUUCCAUUAAGUUGGGUAACGAGCGCAACCCCUAUUGCGUGUUAUACGUGUCACGCGAAACUGCCUUGUUUUUCAAGGAGGAAGGUGGGGACGACGUCAAAUCCGCAUGGCCCUCUGAUGCCCUGGGCCACACUCAUAAUACAAUGGUUAAUACAACGGGUUGCCAAGCCGCAAGGCGGAGCUAAUCCUCCAAAAUUAACCCCAGUUCAGAUUGAAGGCUGCAACUCGCCUUCAUGAAGUCGGAAUCGCUAGUAAUCGCAGGUCAGCUAUACUGCGGUGAAUACGUUCUCGAGUCUUGUACUCACUGCCCGUCAAGCCAGGGGAGCCGGGGGCGAAUGAAGUUUCACUUCGGUGGAAUAAGUUCGAAUUCGGUGACAUGGGCUAAGUCGUAACAAGGCACGUGUAGCGGAAGCUGUGCGUG